UACGGAGGGUGCAAGCGUUAUCCGGAUUUACUGGGUUUAAAGGGUGUGUAGGCGGACUUUUAAGUCCGUGGUGAAAUCUCCGGGCUCAACCCGGAAACUGCCAUGGAUACUAUUGGUCUUGAAUAUUGUUGAGGUGGGCGGAACGGGUCAUGUAGCGGUGAAAUGCAUAGGUAUGACCCGGAACACCGAUUGCGAAGGCAGCCCACUAAGCAAUGAUUGACGCUGAGGCACGAAAGCGUGGGGAUCAAACAGG
rnacentral:rRNA from 1 species